CUGGAUCUGUGAUUCGGUGACUUUUUGAAUGUGAAGGUGCAUUCUUACAAAUUUUCUGCUCAUGUUAGUUUAGCCCCUGGCUGCAUUAUACAGACAACAUAUUUAGAUACUUUUGAUUAUAAAGAUCUCUGACAUGAUCAUAUUGUUAUUUUCAGCUUUUGGAUUUGCAUAUAAUGCUGACACCACAUGGACUCUGAAGGAAGUUGUGCUAACUGCUAAGCCUUCCCUGCUUUUCCAGUUUGUGUAUUUCAUUGAUGGAGGAGGUAUAAAUCUGUUCCUUAAAGCGAGCAAAUCAAAACAAAAACGCAGGAGGUAUCGGACAACACUGACGACCGCUACGCCAUUCCACUUAGACCUGAAGGCAACAUCAAAGGAUGCCACCGGCAGCAGAGAUCAACAAGUUCUUCACCGUCGGGGAGAAGGUACAAAAUUGGACAUCAUGUGAGGUGUUAUGCUCAACCCCAGCCAGUUCAAAGGCAACACUGGUGGUGGUCCUCUGAGUAUGCAAAUGACAUAGAGUGGGCACUGCAAUAAUACAUGCUAAUAGGUGCAGUUUCAUCUCGAGCAGACGAGCACUGCAAUAGUACAUGCUACUCUCAGCGACUACUAACGUGAAGUUGCACUCAGGCUCUCGCAUAUACUAAAGAGCAGUGGCAUCAAUGGAACAAAUAAAGUCUUGAUAACUAGAAGGCCAUUCCGAUUCCAGUAUGGUAAAUAUUCGAUGGAUGACAAAGGGUCCCGAGGGAGCUCGUUUGUGCUGACAACACUCAGCAUAUUCUGCAAAUAUCCUCUGAGUUCACCAUCCAUGAGUUGCAAGUCAUGUUUUCUGGUGCUACAAGUAUAAAAAGGUUCAUACUUUGUUUUAUUAACCUUUUGUGGUGUUGUUCCAAUACCUUUUGGAGUUUUGGCCUAAAAGGGUUCUCUGAAACACUGAGACAAACAAAGCUAAAAUUUGGAGUAUGAUUAAGCAGUCCAGUCAGCGUUACUAAUCCCCACUUGAGCUUGACUGUAUUUCCUGGCUUAAUGUUUGAUAUUCUAUGUAUAGCAAAAAUAUGUGCAGAAUUUCAUUUAAGUUUGAAAGCCAAUCGAUUCCAUGCUUUGAGCUGGAAA